ACUUAGAAACAUUUUGAGUAUGCAAUUUUGUAGCCCAUUGAUUUCUAGUGGAAUAAAGUGCAAGGUUCAAACGGCUAAAAAUUACCGUUGGUUUUUUAGCUUUUUUUUGUCGUAGA